CCCUGGCACAUCCAGCCCCGGCCAGGCAUUUCUGCCGCAGGCAGAUGAGGCGCUGCGGCCGGACCGCUGUCCCCGGUGCUGAAAGGUCGAGGGCGCCCGCGCGAGCCCUCGGUGUUGCUAUCCAGGGUGCUGAGCGCGGGCCGCCGCAGUCCCCGAAGCCAGCCCACCCGCGCCAGCCCUCCGCAGAGCCCUCCCACCCGGCACGACCCGCCCGCCUCCCGCCAGCCUGCAGUUGACGUGGAGCAGGCGGCAUAAAUCAAGUCCGCGGGGCAUGGAGGCUGCUGUCGCUGCAGCAGCUCAGCUUGCCCGGGGCGGGAACUCCCCCUUUCUCCUUUCGCCUCCCCAGCACCCACACCCUGUCUCCCCCUUAAUUCUUCCCUGGAUAAUAGCACCCUAACGACAACAGUCAUAAUAAUAGGGUUAGAACGACAGGGGAGGAAAACUCAACAGCCUAAAUAUCUCUGAAAACUGCAUCGCAAAAUGGAAGAAAGAGGGGGUCCCACUACUGUUUCAAAAGAGAGCCAUGGAAGUCAAAUGCUGAGGAUGGUGGCAUCAUAGGAUGAAUGGAGCUGGGUUCUUGAAACACUGCCUGGAGGAAAGACAGCAAAAAUGCCUCAUGAAUCCAACUGGACUGUUAGGAUGCUCACCCUUGGAGACCAGCAACAAUGUGUGCAGAAACCCAGGCCAUGUGGAGAGGCCCCACAUACGUGUCCAACUGAGGUCCCAGCUGACAGCUGGCAUUGACAUAAUGUUCACUCUGGGGGAAGCCAGCUGCCACGCUGUAAGGACACUCGGGCAGUCCUAUGAAGAGGCCCGUGUGGUGAGAAAGAGAGGCCUCCAGCCAACAGCCAUGUGAGGAAACAGCCUGUCAUCCCAGCUGAGGCCAUCCUAGAUCAGCCAACUGUCAGCUGCUUGUGUGUCAGUGAACCCCAGCCAAGACCGGAAGACCUGCCCAGCUGAGCUCAGCCAAGAUCAGCAAAACCUCUCAGCUUAUAACCUUAUAAACUUACCAAUUUAGGUGUGGUUGUGACACAGAAUUAUUGUAUUAUUGUAUGCAUGGUGAGUAUUGUAUAUUACACAUGGGAAUCAUAGAAACAGUGAAAAGCCAGUAAUUUCUGAGUAUAUAUUAAAGUUAGGGCAAAUUGUGUGAGGUGGAGAAGCCACAUACUCCAAAUUUCUGGCCUGAGACAUUGGAAGAAUGAAUAUGGAUGAUGGAGGUGGAUAUUGAAUCUGAAAUGAAUUUUUCAUUUUGUGAAAUUUUGUGAAGUUUCAUUUUGUGUUGAAUAUCUUGUGACUCACCGAAAUGAAAAUCAUAAAAUAAAAUUUGUCCUUAAUGC
rnacentral:lncRNA from 1 species